UGCGUCUCCGCCUUCUCCGCCACGGUCUUCUUGCUCAGCGUCUUGCUCAGCGUCGCGAGCAUCUUCUUCUUCGUCUCCGCCUUCUCCGCCACGGUCUUCUUGCUCAGCGUCUUGCUCAGCGACGCGAGCCUCUUCUUCUCCGUCGCCGCCUUCUCCGCGUCGGUCUUCUUGCUCAGCGUCUUGCUCAGCGUCGCGAGCAUCUUCUUCUUCGACGCCGCCUUCUCCGCGUCGGUCUUCUUGCUCAGGUUCUUGCUCCGCGACGCGAGCCUCUUCUUCUCCGACGCCGCCUUCUCCGCGUCGGUCUUCUUGCUCAGCGACGCGAGCCUCUUCUCCUCCGUCGCCGCCUUCUCCGCGUCGGUCUUCUUGCUCAGCGUCUCGAUAAACUUCUCCUUCGACGCCGCCUUCUCCGGGGCGGUCUUCUUGCUCACCGUCGCGAGCAUCUUCUCCUUCGACGCCGCCUUCUCCGCGGCGGUCUUCUUGCUCAGCGUCUCGAUCCUCUUCUCCUUCGACGCCGCCUUCUUUCUCUUCUUCAGUCCGCGCGUCCCCACCCCGGGCGCGUUCUUCGACUGGCCCGUCACCUUCCAGUACUGCUGCCCCUCCUUGAUCCUCUCGGAGAACCACGCCGCCAUCUCCGG
rnacentral:lncRNA from 1 species